AACUAAGUAUUGUUUGUGAUAUUUCCCAGGAAAUCACAUCUGGGCAAGGAUGAAGGCCAUAUAUGCUUAGGCUUUAGUAAAUAUUGCUAUUUUAAUGUUCUUAUUUGAAUCUCUUUGGGAAAAACAAACAGAAUAUUGUCUCUAUGCAGCAGGCAAAGGCCACUGCAAAUGUUGUUCAUCAGAGUGACAUUCUUGCUGAGAGACUUUAGCUAGAUUCAUGCCCUCUUAAUGUGGCACCUCACGCUGACUGGAGUCCAUCAUCCCUUAUCAAAGGAAAAAAAUGAGAAAUGCCGGGGAAGACAUUGUUGAGUCAGCGAGAAGUCUGUGGAGAACAAGGAGGCUCCAAACACUGAGGUGGGGUGUCCUUCUGAUUAUCAGAGAGGGAGGGACCCAGAUGCUAGGAUGGAUUGUUUCUGUGAGGAACAGGCUUUUUUGUCAACAAUGGCUUAUCCACCAAUGGCUGGUGGUCUACAAAUCUCCCUCACCUUGUGAAACUGUUUCUUGCCUGUUUGCCCAAUCCUUGCAUGUCAAUCAUUUCUGAGACUGGACUCCAUUUACAGCUUCCCUCUUCACACCAAUUGAGAAUGAGCUAAUCGCAUCAGAUAGUGAAGGUCAAGGUUCCACCAAUGGGCUCAUGAAGGUUUCUAAAAUUAUCUGGAAAGGAGCGCGUUGAAAGAGGAAGUGGAGGGACAGCCAACCAGAACCUUACCAGACGCGAAGUCUAGAGCUGACCUUAGUCAUCAUUCAGCAUGAGCAAUGGAGAAGAGGACAGAGGCCUGCCAUCUGAGAAAAUCUCAAGACCGCUCAUUCACACCUCCAUCUUUGAGGAGAGGAGCUUGUGUCCCAGAGAGCUCAAAACAACGCUGCAGCAGAGUAUUAUCAUGGCCUGUCCGUCAAAGGGGCAAAGAGACUCAUAAGGAGAACUCUACAUUCAUUUGUCCAUGUGCUCUCAGGCUGUGCUAAAUGCCUAGAACAGGAUACAAACAAUAGGAACUAGAUUAAUUUAGCAGACUGCUUGGGUCCACAGAGUCAACGAAGCCAUCUUCAAGUUCUGUGAGAUGCCAGUCUAUCACCAGCAGAAAGUUUCUGAGAUCACAUAAAAGGAAGACAGCAAAUUAAGCAAAGACAAAUUGUUUCCACCCUAGAACUUUGCAGAGAUGUCCAUACCCCACUCUGGAUUAAGAUUCAAGGCCCUUGGCUUAAUUCACCAAGACCCUUUUCUCACUUCAAAGAAAUUCUCAGAAGGAAGAGAGGAAGAGCCAGAGUCAUGAAAGGAAUUAAGGGUCAUGUGUAUCCCAGUUUGGUCUCAGAUUUGCUACGGAACCAAGGUUGACCUUGACCUUAUGACCUGUCAGCCUGCUGAAUGCUGGGAUUGCAGGCGAGUCACACCAUGUCAAAUUCCAUAGUGCUGGAGCUCAAGCUUAGUGCUUUGUGCAUGGUUGGCAAGCAGUCUACUAACUAAGCUAAGGCUCUAGCCCCAUAUUUGAAGGUUUUAGGUGCAUUGGACAAGGAGGCGUGGGAGCAUCAGGAAGGACCAUGACCAUACGAGACCAGAAUGGAGGACCUACCAGGCCACCCUGAGCCCCCAGCCACCAGAGAAUCCUGACGUCUGCCCUCUUCCUUGUUGAUGAUGUUCCCACAGAAGGGUUGGUUUUCCAAAGGGAGGAAUUGAGGAGCUUCAGUUCAUCAUCUCUAAUAAUGAACAUUUCUGUUGGUUUAUCAAAUUUCUGGGAAACACAGGACACGGCGUAUGUGUGGAUGACACAUUUUUGUUUGUUUUAAUAUUUGGACUUGGAUAUUUUUUCUGAGCACAUUUGUAAAAGGUCUGUUAGAAGGACUUUUCUUUCCAUUAAUAAUUUUAGGAAGUGAAGCAUAUAGUAAAAUUGGUGACCAACAGAUCCCUAAGUGUUGCAUAAAUAAUCCAGGAAACUGCAAAAUGGUCUUAUGUAAAGUCACUCCACAAAUGCAUGUUUAAUUAGCACCUACUAAUGUAACAGAUGCGUUAGAAAUAAGUUAGGGUGACCUGUACUAUUCUGAACAAUACAGUAUCAGCUCGGAGGGGCCAAGGGCUGCAACAUAACCUGUUUUUAAUUGAGCAACUUGUCACCCAACAAAAUAAGAGACAGCUUGUGUUUUAUAUGUUUCUGUACUGCAUCAUUAUCCAACAAUAAAUGCAAAAAUAAAUUAACAAAAAAA